CCUACGGGUGGCAGCAGUGGGGAAUAUUGCACAAUGGGGGGAACCCUGAUGCAGCGACGCCGCGUGGGUGAAGAAGCGCCUCGGCGCGUAAAGCCCUGUCAGCAGGGAAGAAAAUGACGGUACCUGAAGAAGAAGCCCCGGCUAACUACGUGCAAGCAGCCGCGGUAAUACGGAGGGGGCCAGCGUUAUCCGGAUUUACUGGGUGUAAAGGGGGCGCAGGCGGCGAUGCAAGCCUGCAGUGAAAGGCCGGGGCCCAACCCCGGGACUGCAGUGGGAACUGCGUGGCUGGAGUGCGGGGGGGGCAGGCGGAAUUCGUGGUGUAGCGGUGAAAUGCGUAGAUAUGAGGAGGAACCCCGGUGGCGAAGGCGGCCUGCUGGAGUGCAACUGACGCUGAGGCCCGAAAGCGUGGGGAGCAAACAGGAUUAGAUACCCGGGUAGUC
rnacentral:rRNA from 1 species